rnacentral:rRNA from 1 species
GUGUCAGCCGCCGCGGUAAUACGGAGGAGGCAAGCGUUAUCCGGAAUUAUUGGGCGUAAAGCGUCCGUAGGUGGAUGUUCAAGUCUUCUGUCAAAGCGCGGAGCUUAACUCCGUAAAGGCAGAGGAAACUGAGCGUCUAGAGUGCGAUAGGGGCAAGGGGAAUUCCCAGUGUAGCGGUGAAAUGCGUAGAUAUUGGGAAGAACACCGGUGGCGAAAGCGCCUUGCUGGGUCUGCACUGACACUGAGGGACGAAAGCUAGGGGAGCGAAAGGGAUUAGAUACCCCCGUAGUCC